UCAGAUGAUGGCUGUGUUUAUCAUAAUAUAGAAAUGCCAAAAUGAGACUUAAGAGCAAUGUUGAACUUUCUGAUGAGUGUUCCAUGGCAUUCAGAGUCUCAUGCUUGCCUACACAGGUUUGACAUGUCAGACUAUGCCAUCCGUUUCAUAUUCUUCCUCCUCACAUAUCAGUGGCAGAUUCUUCCACCUUCAAACCACA
rnacentral:lncRNA from 1 species